rnacentral:rRNA from 1 species
UUCCGGAGCUAACGCGUUAAGUCGACCGCCUGGGGAGUACGGCCGCAAGGUUAAAACUCAAAUGAAUUGACGGGGGCCCGCACAAGCGGUGGAGCAUGUGGUUUAAUUCGAUGCAACGCGAAGAACCUUACCUACUCUUGACAUCCAGAGAACUUUCCAGAGAUGGAUUGGUGCCUUCGGGAACUCUGAGACAGGUGCUGCAUGGCUGUCGUCAGCUCGUGUUGUGAAAUGUUGGGUUAAGUCCCGCAACGAGCGCAACCCUUAUCCUUUGUUGCCAGCGGUUAGGCCGGGAACUCAAAGGAGACUGCCAGUGAUAAACUGGAGGAAGGUGGGGAUGACGUCAAGUCAUCAUGGCCCUUACGAGUAGGGCUACACACGUGCUACAAUGGCGCAUACAAAGAGAAGCGACCUCGCGAGAGCAAGCGGACCUCAUAAAGUGCGUCGUAGUCCGGAUUGGAGUCUGCAACUCGACUCCAUGAAGUCGGAAUCGCUAGUAAUCGUAGAUCAGAAUGCUACGGUGAAUACGUUCCCGGGCCUUGUACACACCGCCCGUCACACCAUGGGAGUGGGUUGCAAAAGAAGUAGGUAGCUUAACCUUCGGGAGGGCGCUUACCACUUUGUGAUUCAUGACUGGGG